AGGUCACGUACAUCAUCCUGGUGGCAGGGAAAGGAGAAAGGCUGACAGAGGAAGAGAGACAGAGGAUGGAGGAGUUUGCCGAGAAGAAGGGUAUCCCGAUGUCCAGCAUUCAGUAUGUCCAGGAAACAGAUGAUUGUCCUGAGAAGUAAAGACCUGCCUGGGUGAUAACAUGUUGAUGAGGGCACCUGCCUCCAUCUUCCCCAUUCCAGCAGAAUCGACUCUGGGAAGAUGAGCCGUCCUCACGCGUCACCCAUGUUUUCCUCUAUCCUGCUACAUCGGCAUCCUGACUCAUGCCUUUCCCACUUCUUCUCCCCUUCUCCUGAAA